UCCAGUCAGCUUCUGUAUGUGGAAGGGAAAGUGCGAUCUUGUUCCUUGGCCCAGUUCCAAAAUAUCUUGAGCUGGUUCUCUGUGCCUUUUGACACAAAAAGUAAAACUGAAAAAAGUUCAGGCCUGCUUUAAUCUUACAUGCCAUAGGUGACCAGGCUUAAAAACAACUCUGGGUCAUACCCCUAAAUUUAGUUACUAUAUUGAACCUUCAAGUAAGUUUUCUUUCCUCCCAAAAACACUUCUGUCAGCUGAUUAGUGACUGUGAUAUUAGUUCCCAUAAUGUAAGCAAGUGAAGUUUUUCCUCUGCAAUUUCUUAUGAUUUUUUGAGUCAAGAAUGUAAUUAAAUUGAUGAUACCUCUUGAGUAUUUAGUUGCAUACUCUGCAGCCUCUGUACAGAUGUAGAAUGACUGUUAAUGGGGGGAAAUGAAAGUAGUUGUUUUUACAUGUUCUGCCCUUGUAUUAGUUUCAUAAAACUAAUUUCUUCAUUUCAGAAACCAGAUUCACACAUAGGCACAUAAUGCAGUUUAGAUGCACUGCGAUCAGUCUUCUGGUAUACAACAGGUCAGAGUAAGGGAGAAGAAAAUGAAAAUGAAAUUGAGAACAAGAGAGAGGAAUAAAAGUGAGCGUGUCUUGAAUCAAGUUAUUUAAUCCAUAUUUGGCUGACUAGUUUUGCUUCUUUGAGAAAAAAAAAGUAUAGCUGCUGAUAAAAUUAAUACCUCAAUGUGUACGUGCAUUUAAUGUCUCUCUUUCAUUAAGCAGUUUUACUAAUCCGUGUAGCUUUUUUAAAAAAAAUUAGGCAAUAGCUUCAUGUUCAAAUGCAGUUAGAGAAAGGUUGUUUUUUUAAAAAGUUUUCUGAAAUAUUCUAACGAAUUUUUCAGGAAAGUGUUGAAUUCAAUUAUGAUAAGCUCUGUUUAAAACCUGAAGUUUGAGUAAGAUUCAUAUAUUGGCAUGAACAUUUGAUACCAAAGCAGCAAAAAAUACUUGGAUGCAAAGGGCAGGAUGCAACUACGUUGUGUUCACAAAAUAUGGCCUUCUUCCCCCCUCUCUUCCCCCUGUGCCACCCUAAAUCUUCUCUGGAGAGUGGUGGGAACCCCCAGAAGAGGUUUAGGGGGAAGUCCCAUUGUGCAAGGAGACCUCAUUCCCCUGACACAUACCCCCCCCCAGCAAUGUGUUAAAUUGCACCCUGCAUACCAAUUUGUCUGAUACCUAUUUUAAAACAACUACAAAAAUGGAAUAAUGUAAUGGUGUAUUCAAAAUUGAGAGAAUUAUUUCAAAGAAUUCUCUGUGGUAUCAUGUUGCAUAGUUGAGUUAACUUCAUAAACAUAGUUUCUCUUAGAUGCAAUUCUAACUCAAGUCAGAGUUGCAUCUAGACAAAAAUCACUUGAGCUGAGUUUGCUCAUGAAGCCCUAGAGUUUUCUGCACGGUCCACCAUCUGGGGUGCCAGGCUUUAACUACAGUACUUUGUUCCAGUUUAAAGGUCUGAAAUAUUUAUCCCUACCAUACACUCUGCCCAAGAAGGAGGUAUGUUCAAAGGCCUUUAGCCAAUAGCCCCUGGAACAUUUCCCUUGGCUGUGGAGUGUAUAUGUUGCAUUAGCAGGCCUCCUCUUAUAUCUAAAGUACUCCCAUGGUAUUGUACAUCUGUAUGCCUUUAGUUUUCUUAAAGCAGAAGAGACUCUUAAUCCCUGCACAUUGCAUUCACCACAGGCUGCUAACUGCUCUUGAAAAUCUUAAGGGGAAAAAUAGUUAUAGGUAAGGCAAUGGGGUGUCAUUAAGAUAUGUAUUUUACAAAGAGAGGAUGGGGAAUCAUAGUUAAGGUACUUGUUUUGUCAUAUCAAAGUACUGAUUGGCUUGUUGGAUGAUAGGGUUCCAGAAUCAAAUAGAGAAGUGGUUCACGGUUACAGUGGUCACAUUCAAAGGAGGUGUCAUGGACUGGUUGAAUGCAGAGGAAUGGUGGGAGGUACCAGCUGGGGAACCCCCAAGGGAAUCAUAGAAUGGUAGAGGCGGAAGAGACCCUGAGGACCACCAACCCCCUGCAAUGCAGGAAUAUGCAGUUAUCCUAUACAGGGAUUGAACCUGCAACUUUGGUAUUAUCAAGAAGGCUCAGAGCCUGGGGAGUAGUGGUGGGACAAUGAUGAGGGGGAAGAGAUGUCGGUAGCUGAAGGUGUAACAGGGCUUAGUGAGCUGGGAGAGUCUGUGGCAGAGAGAAGUCAAGAAUUAGAAGCUGAAGCUGGCGAGUGGGACAAGGGAGGUCAAAAGGCAGAGGGGAGUCAGGCUGGUGAAGAGUCACAGGUGUCUCCCCCUUCUGCAACAAGUCUCCCACCCCCUGUUUCCCAGAACCAGCAGAGGCAUGAAAAUGGCAGAGGAGAGAUUGGCCGUGUGCAGGCACAGUCUCCAGUUGUUUGCAAAGAGCCCUGAAGAGAAGGGGACAUAAACUGCUGUGGGGAGCUGGGGACCUUCAGUCUCAGCAACUGAUUUCAUGGAGGAAGACCCACUAGGAAUGAGCUCAUUAGGCCUGAUACUCUGCCAAGCCUGUGGAGAUCGUAUUUUUGCUAAUAAAGAGUUAACUCCAACCUUGAAGUGUGUGAUUACUGACCAGCAUGCUCUGCGACAGGAGGACGGGGUUUUCUGUUUCUUAUAGCAGUUGUGUUGAAGAGGAAAUGUAUGGAUGCAGCAGUUUUCACUCAAAAUUUCAAGCUGCAUUUGCUAAAACUCCCCUUUCAACAUAGCCGUUAAAGAUACAGACAGCAGUAUCUUGCUUUUCCUUGACUGAUCUAUUCCUGUACAUAUAAUUUGUAUCUAUUGCACUUAUACUCACCAACCAAAAUCUGCUUCUGCAUGUGAGAUAUAUAGGAGCUGCAUGAAAAUGGGGAGAUCCUACUAAUCAGGGUAAGAAUUAUAUUUCCCUUCUCUGUGUAUAUGCCUGGUGAACUUAAUGUAUUAGGUCCAUCUCAUGCAAGUAUGGUUGAAGUGUAUUAUGAAGACAUCACCUUUAGAUCUUUUCACUGUUGUACCAUUCAUUUCAUUUCCACCUCUGUCCAUAGGAGGAAAUAUUUUCCUAUUUUUGCAGAUUGGAGUUUUAAGAUGAGUAAUGAUUUUCACUCUUUCUUAAAUGCGUUUGACAUCAUGAAUGAAAUAUGACUAUGCUGACAAGAGAUGCUUUUUGAGAAGUGUUUCUCAUCUCACUCCAAGGCAAUGAAUCUAUAAAGCAGUAUAUGAAACUACAAUUGGUUGAUCUAGCUCAGGGGUUGUCAAGCUGGUCCCUACUGCCCACUAGUGGGCAUUUCAGGAUUCUAGGUGGGCAGUGUCAGGAGUUCAGCCUACACUUGAGUAGGACCCUGGCAGAGACACAUGCCCGACUGGCAUGUUCUCUCCCUCCUGGUCAAUUUUUCGGGAGCUUCAAAAGCUUUCUUCAGCCCGAACAUCACAGUGACCAAUGCCAACUGAUACCGGCACACUUAGAGAUCUGCAGAGUUUGUGCUGUUGCGUAACAGAACUCAGCAACUCAGCAUUUUGGCUAAUCUACUUCAUUUACAUAUAAACACACACGGAGCACUGCAACAUGGCUCCCUCUCUCUCUAGCAUCAGACAGCAAAGAGAAAAAGAACAAAGGACAAUAGUCCCACUUCAUGGAACACAGUAACAUAAACAUCUUGUCUCCGUCACUUCCCACUCUGUGGAGUCAAAACACAUGCUGUCCUGUGAAAGACAACAAUCCUAUGACUUCAAUCAUGGAUCAGGAUAGGGGGUUCUAUGGCACAAGCUGAAUCCUCCUUCCAUUGAGCACUGGUGGGCGAUAAGGAAAUUUUACCAUCAAGAAAGAUGCAUUAGUGGGUGGUAGGUAUAAAAAGGUUGACUAUCCCUGAUCUAGCUCAUUCUUGUCUAUAAUGAUGGACGGUGAUUCUUCAGGGUUUCAGGGAUGCGUCUUUCCUAGUCCUACCUGGGAAUGCCUGGAAUUCAACUUCAAACCAUUUGCAUAAAGCAUGUGCUCGACGACCAUUGAACAAUGACCCAUUCCUGGCAUACAUGUGUUGGCUUGGAUCACAACUAGGCCCCAUAACUUUUUUGGGGGUGGGGAGGUACUGCAGGAGGUAACUGCAAAGGUGCUGCUGCUGAGACAUUCAUGCCAGUAGAAGCUGAAUUAGGAUCUAAGCUAAUGAAUGUAUAUGUUGUAGAUAAAUGUUCUCCUGGCUUCCACAACAACCUGGGAGAGUGCAAAAGAUUAGGUCAGCAUGUCUGCAUAGUACUUCUACUGAGACUGAUACAAAGUCAUGGCUUGCUUAAAAUACAUAUUAUGUUGGUUUUCAUUUUUAUACAUCAACUGAAUACAUUGAUUCGUGUCUUCAACAGAUGUACUAGAACAUUUUUAAAACAUAGUUUUAAUUGAAGGGUCUAUUUAC